UUCUGUAGUAUUGUUUAUAGUACGUAAAAUGUCGUUAGUCUUGUCUUUCUUAACUGUAGCAAGGACGUCGUCUACGUAUCUGUUCCAUGUUUUAAUAUCGUUAUUGUUAGUAACGGAUCUCUUUUCUAGAUCCUGCAUGACUGCUUCAGCAAGGAAACUAGAAAGAGGAGAUCCCAUAGGUGUACCCGAAAGUUGUCUGUAGUAAGAGUUUUGGAAUGAGAAUUCAGUGGAAAGACACAGAUCAAGUAGUUCAAGAAUGUCGUGUUUGUCUAGUUUGGUUCUGGUUUGCCACGAUUCGUCACAAGUAAGCAGUUCGUUCGUGAUGCGUUUUGCUGUGUCUAGUGGUAUGGAAGUGAAAAGAGAAACGACGUCAAAAGAUAUCAUGAUUUCGUCCGGUUCAAGUUUAAGAUCUUUAAUAUUAGUAAUGAAAGUAUUAGCGUUAUUAAUUGUAUGAGGAGAUGUCUUGACAAGAGGAUGAAGGAUCAUAGCAAGAUAUUUUGAUAGCUCGUAUGUAGGUGAUCCUGGGAGGGAGACAAUAGGUCGUAGAGGAAUGUUUUCUUUAUGUAUUUUCGGUAGUCCGUAAAAUUUAGCAGUGGAUGCAUCGUUUGG